rnacentral:misc_RNA from 1 species
CUCUCCCACGCCUUCCCCUCACGGCGCUUGUUUCUGUGUACUCUUCGCCGUUGCUGUGCUUUCAUGUCUCUCUGCCCUCGCCAAGCGCCCCAUGUCGCGCUCCUGUGCGCCCCACGCGUCGAUUGGUGUUCGAGUUCCCGUUGGUGCUCUUGGGUAACCUUUCCUAUGCCGGGCAUGUCCACUGUGUGCGCCGUGUGUGUGUGCCAAAAAAUCGCCAUCCAUCAUGUGUCUCUGCCGGGCGUCUCGCUCCCCCUUCUCCCCUCCCACCCCCUCGGGUGAAGUGGCCGCCGGAUGCGUGGAAGGAAGACAGACGGCGAAGAGAGGAAAGGAGAAGGGGAGGGAAGGGGAGGGGGAGGGCACAACAAGCAGCCAUCCAACAACGAGCUGACGUGAUGCGAGAGAUGAAAGGGGAGCCAACGGGAGAAGCCGCUUCAAGGAGAGCAGGAGAGGAAGCAAGGCGGUGACCGGUACUCUCACCUCCCGACGUCUUCCUCUUCUCUUGCCGUCCAUGCGAAACCGUGUGCGGGGGUUUGCGUGUGCAAUGGCAGGAGGGAAGCCCCCGCCCCCCCCUCGCACUGGCAGACACACGUACGCGGUCUUUGUCUCUCUUCACAUGUCCCUUUUCUGCCCCCUCCCCCCUCCCACCCUUCCCGACGCCGCCGCCGCCGGUCCACUGUCAUGGCACUCCUGCGGUGUUUGCACCUCUCUUCGACUACGGGGGGGGUGUGCGAGGGCGCGUGAAG